UGAAGAUGCUGAUUGGGCUGCGAGAUGCUGACGGACUGGGGGAGGGGUUUCUGCCUGUCUGCUUGUAACAGACGUAGUUGAAUCAUGCAUGGCGGACUUAAAGAAAAAAAAAAGUGGAAAGCAGAAAGGAGAUGAAGGGCUCAUGACCCGAGAACUUCCCGAAAGGAGCGUUAACGUGCUGGUAACAGCUUCUUCCGGAUUUAAGAUGAAGAGAAGAUGAACAUACCAAUCUCCCAUUGAUUACGACUUGUAGGCUGCAGGGGAAAGCUCUGCGUAUGGAAACUUCUGCCCCAAAGCUCCCUUUUCUGCCCUCUAAAACUCAAGCUUGCUGCACCUGGGCACACAGUCCUUACCCCCUUGGACAGACCACUACUCUUCUUUGUUCUGAUUAGGGGACAAGCUGUCUGUGGAGGUCAUUCUCCUCUUUAUUUCCAUGUCACCCUAGUCAAUUCCCACGUAACAGGAGGUUUAUUCAAGUAUGUAAUCAUACUAAGAAAGAGCUAAAGACCCAUGGAGCCUCCUAAGUCCAUCUUAGGGGUCCUGAAGUGAGUCACAGUUUAUAAAUAGAUGGCCAAGGACAUUUACAUCUAAACAGACCCAUUCAAAGUGUGGUCCCGCCCACUGCUGGCCUACUAUUGUCUGGGCUUCAGUCUCUUCCCAUAAGAUUGUAUGUCACAUUUCCCCAUGUUGGUGUGUGGAAGUCAGAGGAUAAGUUUCUGAAAUUGAGUAUCUCCUUCCUGAAGUGGGUCCCCACCAUUGACCUGGGAUCAUCAAGCUUCACAGCAGACUCUUGUACUUAACCAUCUCGGCGGCCCAUUUAAAGACAGUUCACUUGGGAAGGUUUCAUUUUACUUAAAAAUAGAGAGAAAUAAAUAUAAGCUACAUGUGGCACUACAUA